rnacentral:rRNA from 1 species
CUGGAGGUAUCAGAAGUGCGAAUGCUGACAUAAGUAACGAUAAAGCGGGUGAAAAGCCCGCUCGCCGGAAGACCAAGGGUUCCUGUCCAACGUUAAUCGGGGCAGGGUGAGUCGACCCCUAAGGCGAGGCCGAAAGGCGUAGUCGAUGGGAAACAGGUUAAUAUUCCUGUACUUGGUGUUACUGCGAAGGGGGGACGGAGAAGGCUAUGUUGGCCGGGCGACGGUUGUCCCGGUUUAAGCGUGUAGGCUGGUUUUCCAGGCAAAUCCGGAAAAUCAAGGCUGAGGCGUGAUGACGAGGCACUACGGUGCUGAAGCAACAAAUGCCCUGCUUCCAGGAAAAGCCUCUAAGCAUCAGGUAACAUCAAAUCGUACCCCAAACCGACACAGGUGGUCAGGUAGAGAAUACCAAGGCGCUUGAGAGAACUCGGGUGAAGGAACUAGGCAAAAUGGUGCCGUAACUUCGGGAGAAGGCACGCUGAUAUGUAGGUGAGGUCCCUCGCGGAUGGAGCUGAAAUCAGUCGAAGAUACCAGCUGGCUGCAACUGUUUAUUAAAAACACAGCACUGUGCAAACACGAAAGUGGACGUAUACGGUGUGACGCCUGCCCGGUGCCGGAAGGUUAAUUGAUGGGGUUAGCGGUAA